CCUACGGGCGGCAGCAGUGGGGAAUAUUGGGCAAUGGGCGAAAGCCUGACCCAGCAACGCCGCGUGAAGGAAGAAGGCUUUCGGGUUGUAAACCUCUUUUGAUAGGGAAGAGCAGAAGACGGUAUAUGUCGACUCAUCUACGGCUAACGACGUGCGAGCAGCCGCGGUAAUACGUAGGUGGCAAGCGUUGUCCGGAUUUACUGGGUGUAAAGGGCGUGUAGCCGGGCUGACAAGUCAGAUGUGAAAUCCGGGGGCUCAACCGCCGAACUGCAUUUGAAACUGGUGGACUUGAGUAUCGUAGAGGCAGGCGGAAUUCCUGGUGUAGCGGUGAAAUGCGUAGAUAUUAGGAAGAACACCAGUGGCGAAGGCGGCCUGCUGGACGGCAACUGACGGUGAGGCGCGAAAGCGUGGGGAGCAAACAGGAUUAGAUACCCUUGUAGUC
rnacentral:rRNA from 1 species